rnacentral:rRNA from 1 species
AACGAACGCUGGCGGCAGGCCUAACACAUGCAAGUCGAGCGAGAUCUUCGGAUCUAGCGGCGGACGGGUGAGUAACGCGUGGGAACGUACCUUUUGCUACGGAAUAGCCCCGGGAAACUGGGAGUAAUACCGUAUGUGCCCCCUGAUGUAAGAAUUGGGGGGGAAAGAUUUAUCGGCAAAGAUCGGCCCGCGUUGGAUUAGGUAGUUGGUGGGGUAAUGGCCUACCAAGCCGACGAUCCAUAGCUGGUUUGAGAGGAUGAUCAGCCACACUGGGACUGAGACACGGCCUAGACUCCUACGGGAGGCAGCAGUGGGGGAAUAUUGGACAAUGGGCGAAAGCCUGAUCCAGCAAUGCCGCGUGUGUGAAGAAGGCCUGAGGGUUGUAAAGCACUUUCAAUCGUGAAGAAAAGUUGCAAGGCUAAUACCCUGUGACCUUGACGUUAACGAUACAAGAAGCACCGGCUAACUCCGUGCCAGCAGUCCCGCGGUAAAGUCACAUGUGC